CCUACGGGAGGCAGCAGUGGGGAAUAUUGGACAAUGGGGGCAACCCUGAUCCAGCCAUGCCGCGUGUGUGAAGAAGGCCCUCGGGUUGUAAAGCACUUUCAGUGAGGAAGAACGCCUGGUGGUUAAUACCCAUCAGGAAAGACAUCACUCACAGAAGAAGCACCGGCUAACUCCGUGCCAGCAGCCGCGGUAAUACGGAGGGUGCGAGCGUUAAUCGGAAUUACUGGGCGUAAAGCGCGCGUAGGUGGCUUGAUAAGCCGGUUGUGAAAGCCCCGGGCUCAACCUGGGAACGGCAUCCGGAACUGUCAAGCUAGAGUGCAGGAGAGGAAGGUAGAAUUGCCGGUGUAGCGGUGAAAUGCGUAGAGAUCGGGAGGAAUACCAGUGGCGAAGGCGGCCUUCUGGACUGACACUGACACUGAGGUGCGAAAGCGUGGGUAGCAAACAGGAUUAGAUACCCGAGUAGUC
rnacentral:rRNA from 1 species